CCUACGGGAGGCAGCAGUGGGGAAUUUUGGACAAUGGGCGCAAGCCUGAUCCAGCCAUUCCGCGUGCAGGAUGAAGGCCCUCGGGUUGUAAACUGCUUUUGUACAGAACGAAAAGGUUUCUACUAAUACUAGGAGCUCAUGACGGUACUGUAAGAAUAAGCACCGGCUAACUACGUGCUAGCAGCCGCGGUAAUACGUAGGGUGCAAGCGUUAAUCGGAAUUACUGGGCGUAAAGCGUGCGCAGGCGGUUAUAUAAGUCAGAUGUGAAAUCCCCGGGCUCAACCUGGGAACUGCAUUUGAGACUGUAUAGCUAGAGUACGGCAGAGGGGGAUGGAAUUCCGCGUGUAGCAGUGAAAUGCGUAGAUAUGCGGAGGAACACCGAUGGCGAAGGCAAUCCCCUGGGCCUGUACUGACGCUCAUGCACGAAAGCGUGGGGAGCAAACAGGAUUAGAUACCCUGGUAGUCCACGCCCUAAACGAUGUCAACUGGUUGUUGGGUCUUAACUGACUCAGUAACGAAGCUAACGCGUGAAGUUGACCGCCUGGGGAGUACGGCCGCAAGGUUGAAACUCAAAUGAAUUGACGG
rnacentral:rRNA from 1 species